AUACGGGUAGCUGGUCUGAGAGGACGGUCAGCCACACUGGGACUGAGACACUGCCCAGACUCCUACGGGAGGCUGCAGUCGAGGAUCAUUUACAAUGCGCGAAAGCGUGAUAAUGCGACGCUGCGUGGAGGAUGACGGCCUUCGGGUUGUAAACUCCUGUCAUGAGGGAAAAACAGCAUGUGUGUGAAUAGCGCGCGUGUUUGAUGGUACCUCAAGAGGAAGCCACGGCUAACUUCGUGCCAGCAGCCGCGGUAAUACGAAGGUGGCGAGCGUUGUUCGGAUUUACUGGGCGUAAAGCGUGCGUAGGUGGUAUCGUGUGUCGGAUGUGAAAGCCCAUGGCUCAACUGUGGAACUGCAUUCGAAACUGCGGAGCUGGAGUGCAGGAGGGGAGAGCGGAAUUCUUGGUGUAGCGGUGAAAUGCGUUGAUAUCAAGAAGAACACCGGUGGCGAAGGCGGCUCUCUGGAAUGUUACUGACACUGAGGCACGAAAGCUGGGGGAGCAAACAGGAUUAGAUACCCUGGUAGUCCCAGCCGUAAACGGUGCGCACUUGGUGUAGGGGGUAUUGACCCCCCCUGUGCCGGAGCUAACGCGUUAACUGCGCCGCCUGGGGAGUACGGCCGCAAGGCUAAAACUCAAAGAAAUUGACGGGGGCCCGCACAAGCGGAGGAGCAUGUGGCUUAAUUCGAUGCAACGCGAAGAACCUUACCAGGGCUUGACAUGCAGCUGCACAUCCGGUGAAAGCCGGACUCUUUCGAAGGUGCUGCACAGGUGCUGCAUGGCUGUCGUCAGUUCGUGCCGUGAGGUGUUGGGUUAAGUCCCGCAACGAACGCAACCCCUGUGGUUAGUUGCCACCGUAGGUGAUGAGCCUGCGAGCACUCUAGCCAGACUGCCCGUGCAAGCGGGAGGAAGGUGGGGACGACGUCAAGUCAGUAUGGCCCUUACGCCCUGGGCUGCACACGUGCUACAAUGGUAGGUAUAGAGGGAUGCGAGACCGCGAGGUGGAGCCAAUCCCCAAAACCUUCCCCAGUUCGGAUUGGAGUCUGCAACUCGACUCCAUGAAGUUGGAUUCGCUAGUAACGGCGUAUCAGCUACGACGCCGUGAAUACGUUCCCGGGCCUUGUACACACCGCCCGUCACAUCAUGAAAGCCGUCUGCACCCGAAGUCGCUGAGCCAACCCGUCAAGGGAGGCAGGUGCCGAAGGUGUGGGUGGUGAUUGGGAUGAAGUCGUAACAAGGUA
rnacentral:rRNA from 1 species